CGUCCCCCGCCCGCCCCGCCGGGCGCGGCUAUGGCGGCCCGCGGGCCGGGGCCACCGCCGAACCGUGUUCCAAAGUGCCACAUCUACACGGAAUGGUUUGGUUUCUGUUUGCCACCCAAACAUCGUUGAGUUUUGGGACUGCUCCACUUAUAGCGGGUUUUAGCGGUACUCCUCAGUGGUAAACAUGGCUGGUGUGAUAGCCGGGGGGAAACCCAGCUUAAACUUUGUGCUGUUUGACUGUAUUGCAGUAUGUAGCACCAGCCUGGCUGGUUUGCACGUGCUCAUUCACACAAGAAGCAAAUUCCUCUCCCGAACAUUGUACAAAAAAUCGCCGGUAUUUGUUUAGUUACACUGUUCCCUCCAGUCAGGCUUUCCCUCUGCCUGUUCCGUGCGAGCCUCGGUCGCUGUGACCGCGGCAGGGCCGGGUGGGAUUGCCCGGUGGGAUUGCCAGGGGCUUUAUCUAUGGAGUCACCAAUGGGAUGAACCAUUACAUCUCAAAUUUCCUGAUUUUUGAAGACAUGCUGCAUCAGGAAUCAGAACUGUCAGGUCCAUGGAAAGCUGGUGUCACUGAUGAGCCCUUCUGAGACCUACAGCUCAGAGCUGGAGGCUGGGCAGGGUAGGAACAGGAAGCCACUAUCUGUGCAUGCACCAGGAUUUACAGACACAAGCGGCUUUACAAGAAAAUCUGCAACAGAUAAGUAUUUUCCCUUGCUGCAAAAAAUGCCCAAGCCUCAUUUUCAGUGACACACUACAGGAAAUGAAGAUUAUAUUUGAUUUAUAGUAGUCUCAGAGGAACAGAAAUGUUUUUUUUGCAUUUACCAGCACAUACAAGAUCUGUUUUUCAAGAUGCUACUUAUGGCAAUGAAGAAGCAAUAAGAAAAGCCUACAAAUAUUCUCCAGUAUAGGAGACAUUUUGCAUCUUUCCACCAAUAACAGUCAUCCUUUCCUCUUACUGGAAACAAAGUUCCCUUUUAAGAAGGAAUUUGGGAUUGACCAAACAGAUGUGCGUUAUUCCCGAAAGCAAAGCUUGUCCGAGGUGUGAUGGGGCUGCACUGCCGAGAAGAGGUGUCCCAAACCCCCCACAUCUUCUCAGCAAUGCACAUUUCUUCAGACACGAGAUAAAUGUAGUAUAUUUCCCAUCACUAACCCUGAAUAGUUUUCAGUAACUUCAUGGUCAUGUGUUUGUUAAUUACUUUCAACAUCUGCAAUGUAUAUUUAAAACAAUGGCAUUUGUCCUGGCUGACGCUGCUCUUUACAAAGUGACAUCUCAUCUGAUUUCCCAAGAAUUACAUGGGAAAGAGAUCUACCAGGAUCCUGGUACACCACAAUCUGUGGAAGGAGGCUAACUCUGGAAAAGGACAAAAUUAAACUAUAGUUGUCCUGAAGGAAACAUGAUGUAGAAUGGACCAUUAGGCAUGAAACAAUGUGGAUUUCCUAUAGCUUCCCCCCCAUCCUGCCUAUCCAAGCUUUAAUAUGUUAUGUUCUCAAGGUCUGUCCAUAGCAUUAAAGAGAACUAUUUAAAGUGGCAUGGCCUAAGCACAUAUUCAGUGUGAUCUUCUGAUGAGUGGGAUAAUCAAACUCAUCUACAUGACAUUUUAAACUUUGGGAAAGGGCCUUCAUUGCCCAUAUUUACUGCCCUGGAACACCAUUAACUUGGGGUUUUGGCUGUCUAGUGACACCACAGUGUUCUCUGCAAAGCUAAAUCCAGAAAAGAAGGUGCUGAAGGGUCGGGUGCUCAGCAGCUCACCAGUGCAGCCCAGCUGGUCCUGACUGUGCUGACUGGAAAUGUUCUCUGCAGGGCAUGCUUUAACAGAGACAUGAAAAUCAAUUCCAACACUGGGAAGUUUCAAAUGCUGCUCCAGAAGUUUAUGUGCAAAGAAAUUCAGGAUGGGGGAUGUGGAACUUAGUCCUAAUGACGAUUUACCACUAUUGUUUUCCUCAUUCAGUGAGGAAAGGACGUGUAACACUGUCUCAGCAUUCCCACCGUGUGUAGUCCUGGCUGCACCAGGGCAGAGUGUGAGUGUAAAGAGUAGAGACUGAUCCAGGGCUAGGGCCAGUGUGUCUGGAAAGGAAUCUGCACCAGCAAAUAAUGAAGGCUGGAAGCCAUUUAUAACUUCUUUCAGUGUUUUCCCAGCUACAUAUACCAUUUCCUUCCUUUCUUUUACCUGAGUCUAGUCACAUCACCACUGGGAGGGAACAGGGCAUCCAUUUCUCAAUCCUGAGGGGCAGCAGCAACACUUGAACUAAAAAAAGUGUUGGAUUGUACAUCAUUAGUACCAGCCACUGAGAACACUACUUGUUCUUGCAAAAUUCUGGUCUGGUUUUGUUUUUGCUCAAAAGAUGAUCUAAGAGAAGAAGUGACAAUUUCAUGUUAACCACUUCAGUUUGUUUCUGAAAUAAAUGAUCCUGAAAUAAA